rnacentral:rRNA from 1 species
UAGGGAAUCUUCGGCAAUGGACGAAAGUCUGACCGGGCAACGCCGCGUGAGUGAAGAAGGUUUUCGGAUCGUAAAACUCUGUUGGUAGAGAAGAACGUUGGUGAGAGUGGAAAGCUCAUCAAGUGACGGUAACUACCCAGAAAGGGACGGCUAACUACGUGCCAG